rnacentral:hammerhead_ribozyme from 1 species
CACUGGUCAAGAGCUGGCGCCGCUUCCUGAUGAGUCCAAGGCAGGACGAAACCAGUG